AGAGAGGUGUAUAUAUUUGCUUACAGAUCCCUUGGUGAUGGCUUAAAUGUAUCAGGAUAGAGGAUGUUGUGGAGCUUCUCCACCGAGGAAUAGAGGAGAUCAUAAAGGCUGUGGUGUGAGAAUCUUCGUCUUGAUCAACGAAAGGCCUUCUAAUGGAGGAACAACUCAAUCCCUUGGCAGCAACCCAUCUCCUCCAACAUACCCUGAGAAGCCUGUGCAUCCACAAGAGCUCCCACUGGGUCUACGCCGUGUUCUGGAGGAUCUUGCCAAGAAACUACCCACCACCCAAGUGGGAUCUUCAACGAGGGUUUUAUGACCGAACUGGAGGAAACAGAAGGAACUGGAUACUCGCAUGGGAGGAUGGAUUCUGCAACUUUGCUGCUUCCACCUGUGAGCAAGAUCGUCAAACGAAAGGUCUCCAUCCUGACCUCUUCUUCAAGAUGUCCCAUGAGAUCUACAACUAUGGAGAAGGACUGAUUGGAACGGUUGCAGCAGAUCACAGCCAUAAAUGGGUGUUCGACGAACCCCAAGAUCAUGACACAAGUUACCUGUCGACAUGGAGCAACGCUACUAAUUCCCAACCGAGGACAUGGGAGGCUCAGUUCCAAUCUGGUGUCCAGACCAUAGCGCUGAUAGCAGUAAGGGAAGGUGUGGUGCAGCUAGGAUCCCUCACCAAGGUGACGGAGGACCUGAGCUUCGUCAUUCUACUCCGCAAGAACUUCAACUUCCUCGAGAGCAUUCCCGGCGUCCUGCUACCGCACCCCUCGUCAUCAGCCUUCCCGGUGAGCAUCGACCGUUGCGGCGGCGGCGGCCCUCAGAAUUGGCCCGUCGACGCCGGGGCGCCGCUCGUCCCAGCUGCCGAGUUUUACGAGGUCACGCCAUCGAUGAGCAGUCUGGAGUCUCUCCUCUCCAAGCUCCCGCCGGUGGUGCCCCCGCCGGAGAUGCCGGUGCUCAUGCAGAAGCCCUCCCCGGGAGUGAUGGAAGCGGAGAAGGUAGCAAAAGAGGAGUAUGCGUAUCGGAGUGGCAUAUUGGAGUUGGAUGGUGAGUGCAGCAGCUCUUUGCCUUACCAUGUCCAUGUGAGCAAAGCAGAUGAAGGGUUCUAAAGCAUUGAGAGCCUGAUGUAACAUCAACAUAUACCUUGAUGAUGUGAUGAGCACUCAAACUCAAAAGGAUAUCCAUGAACAAAUCAUCACUGCCACCUAAAACCUCAACCUCGACAGUUUAAUGCUGCAGCUUUCAGGUUCAGCAGUAAACUCCUCUGUUUCCAAGAAGUCUGAAUAGAUCAAACAUCCUUAAUAUGUCAACUCUUUGAGGGGGAAAUCGAAAGAUCUAUGUCAUCUUCAUUGAUUCUUUCCGUCAAGUUUUAUUGAGCGUUGAUUCGGAUUCGCGGAGUUUAUGGCUGUGGUUUUUAACCUUCUCUCUCGUUGGAUUUGGGAUGGAAAAGGUCAUGAAACUCCCAAUUCAUCUCCGAGUUUUACGUACGAUUCCUACACGGGGUUUAGGGAGCCGGAUUCUUUGAAGAGUGCAGCGAAUAAGGGGCCUCGAAUCCGAUCAAGUUCGAGACGAACCGUGAAGAAGCGUCAUAACCGGGAGGAACGGCAGAUCGAUAAGGAGUACGACGCAGUCCUCGUGCCCUCGGAUGGGGGAUGCAUGUCCGGGACCGACUCCGAUGAUUCCGAUUGGUCGAUCGGGUGGUCGGAACCCCUUGACCCUGAGUUCCACUCUGAGAAAGAGGCUAAUGACAGCUUUGCCGUCUUGGUCCCAUGCUAUGGGCGUCGUCGUUUAGAGCAGGUGGUGAGCUCCAAGAAGCAUGUUUUGGGUUCUGUCGAUCUCAGGGACGCUGACCAUUACGAUGGCAAAAGGGACAUUGAACAGUGGCUUGCAGAACAAUUGUCAACAUGAUACUGUUCUUUAGAUUACUGAACAUAUGGAAGAUUUUGGAGCUUCAGACCAAAACAAAAGCCAAAAAAAGAGAAGAAAAAGGAGAAAAUUGAUUCAAGAAUUACGAAACGACUUGAAGGAUAUAAAGUCCUUGCCGGACUGCUGAUGGUGUAAAUAAAUCAGAAGCAAAUCAUCCAUUCCAAAUUGCAGAGUGAAGGUAUCAGCAAAGACAGUCAUCCUCAAUAAAUAUUCAAAUUUGAUUUGGAAUUACUAAAGUUGGCAAUAUGCUUUUAUUCAUUAUCUCCUUGCUUUCUGCCAAAAAACCAAACCUUCUCCUGUGCAGACCGACAAUAAUCGUGUCUUAAUCUUUUUUUUUUCCUGUAUAAAUGUCUACAUAUGGAACCAUCCUUUACAUUUUUCUGUAAAUAUUAUGGUCCAGGAAGGUUGGAAACUCCUUGUGGCCUGUUUGGUAGGCAGUACUCUAGCAGCAACCAUGGGACUUGUAGCUAGUUCAGUUGCAUGGAUUGACACUGAAUGAAUAACAUGAAUUCUUCAGUUCA